AAAAGGGUGUACGAAUACGGAUUUUGUAUACUGUAUGUUAAUAAUUCUUUAGCAAUUUUGUGGAAAACAAUGAAUUUUUGGAAACACUUAUAUUUCUGCAAUAUGUUUUCGUUCAUAUAGACUUUCCUCUAGCCCCAAUAUAUACUACGUUUAUGCUUCAUUUUUACUCGGUUAUAUUCUACAUGGGUAAAGCCUAUAAGCAUAAACGGCAAAUACUCUACUCGAGGUAAAUUCUGAAUUGAAUUCAAUUGAGGGCUACCACGUAUUAUAAAUAUGUCCGUAUUUUCCAGAUAUAAGGGGUGUGCGGCAUAAAUCGGUUGAGAAGUGUUCGGGCAGAAAUGCACGAGCAAAACUGACCAAUGACCGACCCGGUUUUUCUACGAAAACCGACUACCCACUCGUCGAUGUUUUUUGCAAAAACCGGUUUUCGCUACACCAUCCGACUAUCCACAGUGCCACGGAUGGGCCGCAAAAAAAAAAAAAACGCUGCCAAAAAGUAACCAAUAACCAGUUACUGUAGUACUACACAGUACCAGGCGUUUGCCGCAAAAAUGCGGUAGUAAGUGGGGUAGGGGUUUUCAUUUCAUGAUUUGACGUUCAACUUAACUCUAAAUCCGUUUAUGCAUCCGAGUUAACUCGUCUACAUACGUAAAGAAAAUGUGUAUAUUCUAUCCGAGUAGAUCAUCUCGUGGUGAAAAAUUGUAUAGGUAUGUGGGUUGAACUUAGCCGUGUAUAAUAUAACCGAGUAGAAAUGAAGCAUAAACGUAGUAAUAGUAAUGCAAUCGGUUUAGACCUUGGCAAUAUAGUUAAGUGAUAAUAUUUUGAUAUAUUUCAAUGCGCAUAGUCUAACUACGGGGGAAUGUAAGGCAUUACAAGUAGCAAUCCGUUACUAAGUGAAUUGCGUUGCCAACGGCAAUCGGAAUUCUAAAAAGUGUUGUACUGUUUUUCCGUUCACAGAUUUCCAAGAGAUUUUACAUUACUAAUCGAUAUAAAAUGGAACAUGAUGAUUGUGGAAAACACUAGCAAAGUGCUCAAAAUAGACUGAGCACGAGCAACUGUUCACAUGAGAUGGUGAAUUUCCAUAUCCCAGUACUUCUGCAUGGACUAAUUCUGAAUUGGGUGUACCAGCGGUGAAAUAAUAAAGGGGAUUUGACAUCAUACUUAAACAGUUUUGUUAAGCUGUAUAUUGCAGGUUGGACGGAAUUAAUACGUGAACAUAAAAUUAAAAAUAUUUAAAAAAUUUCUAAAAUAGUAAACCGAAUUUUUCAUUACCUUAUGUAUAUAUUAUGGUGCUCUUUUUGCGCUCCUUGUUUGUGCAUGUUAGUGACACUCAACGUGUUGCAUGUAUAAUUCUCUAUCUGUCUUUCCGCGCAAACGAUAACUAGUGUAAUAAUUUAU